CUUGGGCUUCACCAAGGCCCAAGCUUCUUGCUCGAGCUCAACGCCACGCCAUACUCAGCCCUGAACCGUUGCCCCAUCUAAAGAGGAUUCUUCGCUCGAACGUCGACAACGCCAGAGAAAUCCUCCUUCAACGGCGCGUAACCCUCGCACAACCCUGAAAAACUCACUGAAAAACAGGAAAUAGGUUUCUUCCACGACGGAAACGUCGAGAACGACGGUGGAUAUGUAAGGUGUCUCAACACCGAGAAUGAAAUUGUGCACGGAAUGGAGAAGAUCGAAAGGGGAAGAACCUUGUAUUGGCGCUGUUGAUGUCGUUGAUUCGUGAUGGAGAUCGUAUGAUGAAUGGUGAAUUGUUUUAUUCCGAGUUCGUUGAUGCCGAUUCGUCAUUGAUGAUGGAGAGCGAAGCUUGGUUCGUGCGCUAUUGAUUGAAGCUGAAGACGAAGACUUGCUCAAGCUUGUGUGUCACGAUGAAUCGAUAUGCGUCUUCGGCUUCUCAUCGAAGGUGAGUCCAUGCCGCCUUGUUGAAGAUGAAGAUUGUGGUUGGUUGUGCUUGACGGGGGAUAGUGAAUCCUCGACGCAGGUUCAAAGUCGAUGCUGGAAGAUGACAGUUGAGUUGUGUAUUUGAGGUCCUUGAUUAGUUGUUGAAGAAAAAUGGUUAUGGAUGCGUGGAUUGAAGGUGAGGUUAAAGGAGUUGUUGUUGAAGAUGCUUGAUGAAGGGUGAGGAAGAGAGUGGUCAAUUGAAGAUGGAGGAUGGUUCUGUUAUAGCAGAUUGAAGGAGUGGGGUUGUGAAGAAGUGGUGAGGGUUGUCCUUCCGUGCCUCUUUCUCGAAUGAAUAAGGUAAAUUCAGAUUCUGAAUUGGUUCAGAGGCGAUUCUCGAAGAGUGAAGUGGGUGGCUACUAGAGAUUGGAUUCGGUUAGUAGUAGUUAGGAAGUUAUUGAAGGAAUUUCGAGGUGGAUUCUAUAAUGAAUUGUGGAGUGAAGCUUCAAUGGUUGUUAGCACUUUUUCAUGGUUCCGACACUGUUGUGAGUCCCUUUUAUUUCUCCCUCCAGUUUGGUUUUUCUUUCGGUUUGCUAAGGUGAAUGAUAGGCGGCAUUAUUUUGGAUGGGGUGACGUUCUUCUUGCCGACCCUGUUGGAAACUUUUAAAAGGGUUUUAUAAAUUGGGAUUAGUGAGAAUUGGAUUUUAAUGUCAAAAUCCCCAUUUUGCAUGUUGAUGGAAGUGGGUUAGAAAUCUGAUGAAAUUCUGUUACGGUUGUUUUUAUCCUUCGGCUGGAAGUUCGGUGAGUGGUUAGAAAAUGGUUCCAAAGCUUCGAAAUUGCGAGGAAGGUGUCCUAUUGGAUUGCGGAAAAUUGUCCUAGAUCGAAAUCUUUCUUGCCUCAUAGCUGCAGUUGAAACAUUGUAUUUAUGAAUAUCAAUUAAAUGAAUUGUAAUUGGAAUUUCUUGAGAAAUAGAAAUGCAUUAUAAUUGGAAUUUAUUGAAAAAUAGAAAUGAUUUAUCA